CUCAUUUAAGGGAUGACUGCCCCUGGGAAGGAUUUUUUUUUGCUGGAGAUCUCUCUGAUGUGGAGUCUUUCUACAAGCCUAGAUCUUCAGAGACAGAUUGCAGAUUGUGUGCAUGCUACCUGUACAGUUAGUAAUGUGAAAUGGUCAGACAGAUCUUUUUUCUGAGCUACGAUGUGGACCAAAGAAGAAAAGACAAGAAUAGAGAAAUGAAAAUACCAGGCUAGACAAAUUCAAAGGGACUUUUGUACAAAUAGCUUUAUUGAUUGCCAAAAAGCAAAUGAACUGGAGAGCAGAAUUCCCUCCACCAAAUGACAAAUGUGUUAUAAAUCACAAAGACAUUCUUCAACUUGAAAGACUGCAUUGUACCUCCUGGAAAACAUAAGAGAACAUUUUCUGGACUAUUUUUUCCAGUAGCAUGCUAUUUAGCAACAAGAAGAUUCUCAUCCAUAACGCUUUUAAAACAAACUUAAAAAUUCCUUUAUUAUGAUUGCAAUGGUAUCUCUUUUCUCCUUAUUUUCCAGUGGUGAGAAUUAGUAUUGUUUCAUAAAGAUUACUGCAUCACUGUCUUACAGUUUUGUUGCUAUUCAUUUAAAAUAUUUGUUAUGUUAGUUUUUGCUCCAGAAUUUUUUAAUAGUAUCAUAUUAUUACACUGAAAAAUGCUGCAUUUUAUUUAAUAUACUAAUAAUGAAUGUGCUGGCAGAAAGACUUUGUAGAAAACAUGAAAUGGG
ensembl:lncRNA